rnacentral:rRNA from 1 species
UACAGAGGGUGCGAGCGUUAAUCGGAUUUACUGGGCGUAAAGGGCGCGUAGGCGGUUAGAUAAGUGAGAUGUGAAAUCCCUGGGCUUAACCUAGGACCUGCAUCUCAUACUGUCGAGCUAGAGUAUUGUAGAGGGUAGUGGAAUUUCCGGUGUAGCGGUGAAAUGCGUAGAGAUCGGAAGGAACACCAGUGGCGAAGGCGGCUACCUGGACAAAUACUGACGCUGAUGCGCGAGAGCGUGGGGAGCAAACAGG